GCAUUCGUGGUGUAGUGGUCAGCACAUUCGGGCGUAUUCGAGAGGUCCAUGGUUCAAUUCCUGCCGAGGGCA
rnacentral:tRNA from 1 species